rnacentral:rRNA from 1 species
GACGAACGCUGGCGGCGUGCCUAAUACAUGCAAGUCGAGCGAAUCUUGAGGUGCUUGCACCUCUUGGUUAGCGGCGGACGGGUGAGUAACACGUGGGCAACCUGCCUGUAAGACUGGGAUAACUUCGGGAAACCGGAGCUAAUACCGGAUAAUCCUUUUCCUUUCAUGAGGAAAAGCUGAAAGUCGGUUUUUCGCUGACACUUACAGAUGGGCCCGCGGCGCAUUAGCUAGUUGGUGAGGUAACGGCUCACCAAGGCGACGAUGCGUAGCCGACCUGAGGGGGUGAUCGGCCACACUGGGACUGAGACACGGCCCAGACUCCUACGGGAGGCAGCAGUAGGGAAUCUUCCGCAAUGGACGAAAGUCUGACGGAGCAACGCCGCGUGAGCGAUGAAGGCCUUCGGGUCGUAAAGCUCUGUUGUUAGGGAAGAACAAGUAUCGGAGUAACUGCCGGUACCUUGACGGUACCUAACCAGAAAGCCACGGCUAACUACGUGCCAGCCGCCGCGGUAA